AACGAACGCUGGCGGCAUGCCUAACACAUGCAAGUCGAACGAGACCUUCUGGUCUAGUGGCGCACGGGUGCGUAACGCGUGGGAACCUGCCCUUAGGUUCGGAAUAACUCCCCGAAAGGGGUGCUAAUACCGGAUAAUGUCUUCGGACCAAAGAUUUAUCGCCUUUGGAUGGGCCCGCGUUGGAUUAGCUAGUUGGUAGGGUAAAAGCCUACCAAGGCGACGAUCCAUAGCUGGUCUGAGAGGAUGAUCAGCCACACUGGGACUGAGACACGGCCCAGACUCCUACGGGAGGCAGCAGUGGGGAAUAUUGGACAAUGGGCGAAAGCCUGAUCCAGCAAUGCCGCGUGAGUGAUGAAGGCCUUAGGGUUGUAAAGCUCUUUUACCCGGGAUGAUAAUGACAGUACCGGGAGAAUAAGCGCCGGCUAACUCCGUG
rnacentral:rRNA from 1 species